GCGGGGAGGGACCAUGGCUCAGUAGCAGAGCAUCUGCCUUGUACACAGAGAGUCCCAGGUUCAAUCCCUGGCAUCUGCA